UACGAAGGGGGCUAGCGUUGUUCGGAAUGACUGGGCGUAAAGGGCGCGUAGGCGGCUGUGACAGUCAGAUGUGAAAUUCCUGGGCUCAACCUGGGGGCUGCAUUUGAUACGUGAUGGCUGGAGUGGGGAAGAGGGUCGUGGAAUUCCCAGUGUAGAGGUGAAAUUCGUAGAUAUUGGGAAGAACACCAGUGGCGAAGGCGACUUACUGGACACAUAUUGACGCUGAGACUCGAAAGCAUGGGGAGCAAACAGG
rnacentral:rRNA from 1 species